rnacentral:rRNA from 1 species
AGGACGAACGCUGGCGGCGCGCCUAACGACAUGCAAGUCGAGCGAGAACCAGGGCUUGCCCUGGGGACAGCGGCGAACGGGUGCGUAACACGUGAGCAACCUGCCCCAAAGACCGGGACAACCCGAGGAAACUCGGACUAAUACCGGAUGCCCUCACCGGGUCGCAUGGUCUGGUGAGGAAAUGGAUUCCGCUUUGGGAUGGGCUCGCGGUCUAUCAGCUUGUUGGUGGGGUAACGGCCUACCAAGGCGACGACGGAUAGCUGGUCUGAGAGGACGAUCAGCCACACUGGGACUGAGACACGGCCCAGACUCCUACGGGAGGCAGCAGUGGGGAAUCUUGCGCAAUGGGGGAAACCCUGACGCAGCGACGCCGCGUGCGGGAUGAAGGCCUUCGGGUUGUAAACCGCUUUCAGCAGGGACGAAAUUGACGGUACCUGCAGAAGAAGGCCCGGCCAACUACGUGCCAGCAGCCGC